UCAUAAUUCUAAAUUACUUAUUUUCACAUUUAUAUAAAUGUUUCCAUAAACCAAGAAAAACUGAGCUAAUAAGUAUUAUACAUUUAAUGGUUAAUAUGCUUCAAAGAGUUUUUCUUAAAAAGUGAACAGGAGUUGGUUGAAAUUGUUCCCACAGAUAUAAAGUAUCUGUUAGUAUUUUUAUUCAUAACAAAUUCAUAUCUAAGCUUUCUGAAAAGCUGUAUUACCUAAUACCAUAAGAAGGAUGACUAAGUACUUGACAGCCCCCCUCUUAAGCACUGGCUUAACAUAAAGAAAUUAUUUUAAGAAACAGCCUCCCCUGCACUAUCCUCACCCCUGUUUUAUUUACAGUACAGAGACUAAUAUUUUUGCAAAGCAUUCAUUUAAUCAUGAAAUGUAGACAGAUGCAAUGGUAUCAAGGAAAAGAGCGUUUAGUACCUUUUCACUUUAUUAAAGGUUUUGACAAUGAGAGCCUUAUAAAAUGUCAUGAAAUUCAGUUUGCUAUACAAUAAACAUCUGUUAAGUAGGAGACAUAUCCCAUAUUAUAAAACCAUUUUAAUGAUUAAAAUAAUUCUGAAUUCUUACUAUAAAAAUAUUUGGCUAAAAUAUGAAACAUCUUUGUAAUAAAACUGACAAUGUGCUUAAGUAAGAUUUCAGAAAUGUCUCCUGGAAAAAAUGAGAAUGUUUCCUUUUGCCAGAUAAACUCUGAAAAGUUUAGGUGCCAUAAACAAGACAAAACUAGUAAGGAAUAUCCUGUUACUAGAAAAGAACAGCAUGUAAUGUGGACUUCCUCCAUGUCAAAGUGACAACCACUUAAUGACAGUGACUAAUUAUACAUAAAAAAAAUAGAAUAUAAAAGAUAAUAUGUGUUGUUCUAAGCCAUUAAGUUGUGGUAAUUUGUUACAGCAACCAUUGAAAACUGAUACGACCACAGAGUUUUUUUAACAAAAAUUUUUGUUUGUAUUUAUGUGUGUUUGUAUGUAUGUUUAUUUUUGAGAGAGAGGAGAGCAUGAGCAGGGAAGGUGUAGAGAGAGGGAGACACAGAAUCCAAAGCAGGCUCUAGGCUCUGAGAUGUCAGCACAGAGCCCAUUGCCGGGCUUGAACUCACAAACUGUGAGAUCAUGACCUGAGCCAAAGUUGGACACGUGACCAACUGAGCCACCCAGGCACUCCGAUUUUUUGUUUUUAAAUAUUUUGACUCAGAACAGUUGCAGUAAACUGGUGCAGAAAAGCCUCAUGUAUACAUCAUUCAUAUUUCCCCCAAAUAAUAUUUUAUGUAAUUAUAGUACAUUAUAACAACCAGGAAAUUGAUUUGGGCACCAUACUAUUAAUUCAGGGAAGGAGUGACACUUCUCUGAGUAGACUUUUUAUAUAGGUUCCACUUUUGGAAGUAUAUGUAGGUCUUACAUAUUCAGAACAUAAUACUACAUCAGUCAUGAUGGAAGAAACAAAAAAAUAUAUAUUAAAAUUGAAAGCGUAUGGAAACAAACUCCACUGUCUUUCAAAUGAAGAACCUAGCCACACUGAAAAAAACUAAUUAAAGUAACUUGCAUACGCAGUAUUUGAUUAACUUCAGUUUUGGACAGGUUUGAGGAGAGAAUUACAUACAAAUCAUGAGCUCCUUUUUAGUUGGUGUGGUGUUUUGAGUUAGAAUGGCUGAGGAAAUUUUGCAACUACUUUAUAUGUAAUAUAAGAUUUAGCAAAUGGAUAAAUAUGUGUAUGUUAUUACUCUCCAGGGUUCUCACUGGUGGAAGGCACACACAAAUAUGUGUUGGAGUCAGUGGGGAGACCCUGUAGAAAUGGAUUGGAAUUAAAAGUAAUGGUGUGGACCCAGGAUUUCUCGUGUAUAUGUGUCUGUCUAUAUGCAUGUAUAUAUGUUUAUAUAUUUGUGCAUAUAUAUGUGUGUACAUGGAUAUAUUUCUUAUGUUUGUCUACUGAAGUGACUCAGGAACAAAAACUCCCAGUAAAAAUGAUCUAACAUUACCCUAAUACUCAGAAUCUUGGUCCUUCUUUUUUUUCAAUGUUCCUGUUUAAAUUCCAGUUAGUUAACAUACAGUGUAAUAUUAAUUUCAGAUGUACAGUAUAGUGAUUCAACUCUUCUAUACAAUACCCGGUGCUCAUCACAAGUACACUCCUUAAUCCCCAUCACAUAUUUCAUCCAGCUCUCUACCCACUUGCCCUCUGGUAACCACCAGUUUGUUCUCUGUAGUUAAGAGUGUUUCUUGGUUUGCUUCCCUCUAUCUUUUUUUCCCUUUGUGCAUUUGUUCGUAAAUUCUACAUAUGAAUGAAAUUAUAUCUUUCUGUCCUUCUCUGACUUAUUUCACUUAGCAUAAUACUCUCUAGCUCCAUCCAUGUUGUUGCAAACAGCAAGAUUUCAUUCUUUUUUAUGACUGAGUAAUAUUCCUGUGUGUGUGUGUGUGUGUGUGUGUGUGUGUGUGUGUGUGUGUGUGUGUGAUAUGCACACCACAUCUUCUUUAUCCAUUUAUCAGUGUAUAUUUGGGCUUUCCCCAUAAUUGGGCUAUUAUAGAUAAUGCUACUAUCAACAUCAGGGUGCAUAUAUCCCUUGAAUUAGUAUUUUUGUAUCCUUUGGGUAAAUACCUAGUAAUAUAAUUGCUGAUAGUUCUAUUUUUAACUUUUUAAGGAACCUCCAUACUGUUUUUCCAGAGUUACUGCACCGGUUUGCACCCUAGUGCAAGAGGGUUCCCUUUUCUCCACAUCCUUGCCAACACCUGUUGUUUCUUAUGUUAAUUUUAGCCAUUCUGACUGGUGUGGAGUGAUACCUCAUUGUAGUUUUGAUUUGUGUUUUCCUGAUGAUGAGUGAUGUUGAGCAUCUUUUCAUGUGUCUGUUGGCCAUCUGGAUGUCUUCUUUCAAAAAAAUAUCUGUGUGUCUUCUUUUUUUUUAACUUUAUUUUCUAAAAUUUACAUCCAAAUUAGUUAGCAUAUAGUGAAACAAUGAUUUCAGGAGUAGAUUCCUUAAUGACCUUUACCCAUUGAGCCUAUCCCCCCCUAAAACCCCUCCAGUAACCCUCAGUUUGUUCUCCAUAUUUAUGAGUCUCUUCUGUUUUGUCCCCCUUACUGUUUUUAUGUUAUUUUUGUUUCCCUUCCCUUAUGUUCAUCUGUUUUGUCUCUUAAAGUCCUCAUAUGACUGGGGCGCCUGGGUGGCUCAGUUGGUUGGGCGUCCGACUUCAGCUCAGGUCACGAUCUCGCGGUCCGUGAGUUCGAGCUCUGCAUCAGGCUCUGGGCUGAUGGCUCAGAGCCUGGAGCCUGCUUCCGAUUCUGUGUCUCCCUCUGUCUCUGCCCCUCCCCCGUUCAUGCUCUGUCUCUCUCUGUCUAAAAAAUAAAUAAAACGUUAAAAAAAAAAUUUAAAAAAAAAAA